rnacentral:rRNA from 1 species
GGUUAAGUGACUAAGCGUACACGGUGGAUGCCUUGGCAGUCAGCGGCGAUGAAGGACGUAUUAACUUGCGAUAAGCCCAGAUUAGGCAGUAAAAGCCACUCGAGUCUGGGAUUUCCGAAUGGGGAAACCCACUCGCAUAAGCGAGUAUCGCUGCGUGAAUACAUAGCGCAGCGAGGCGAACCGGGGGAACUGAAACAUCUAAGUACCCCGAGGAAAAGAAAUCAACCGAGAUUCCGAAAGUAGCGGCGAGCGAAAUUGGACUAGCCCUUAAGCUUUACACACGUUAGACGAACGGUCUGGAAAGUCCGACGAUACAGGGUGAUAGUCCCGUAGUUGACGAUGUGUGUUCAGUGAAAUCGAGUAGGGCGGGACACGUGAUAUCCUGUCUGAAUAUGGGGGGACCAUCCUCCAAGGCUAAAUACUACUGACUGACCGAUAGUGAACCAGUACCGUGAGGGAAAGGCGAAAAGAACCCCUGUGAGGGGAGUGAAAUAGAACCUGAAACCGUGUACGUACAAGCAGUAGGAGCACCUUCGUGGUGUGACUGCGUACCUUUUGUAUAAUGGGUCAGCGACUUAUAUUCAGUGGCAAGGUUAACCAUCUAGGGGAGCCGUAGGGAAACCGAGUCUUAACUGGGCGUUUUAGUCUCUGGAUAUAGACCCGAAACCAGGUGAUCUAGCCAUGGGCAGGUUGAAGGUUGAGUAACAUCAACUGGAGGACCGAACCGACUAAUGUUGAAAAAUUAGCGGAUGACUUGUGGCUAGGGGUGAAAGGCCAAUCAAACCUGGAGAUAGCUGGUUCUCCCCGAAAGCUAUUUAGGUAGCGCCUCGGACGAAUACUACUGGGGGUAGAGCACUGUUAAGGCUAGGGGGUCAUCCCGACUUACCAACCCUUUGCAAACUCCGAAUACCAGUAAGUACUAUCCGGGAGACACACGGCGGGUGCUAACGUCCGUCGUGGAGAGGGAAACAACCCAGACCGCCAGCUAAGGUCCCAAAUUACUACUAAGUGGGAAACGAUGUGGGAAGGCUCAGACAGCCAGGAUGUUGGCUUAGAAGCAGCCAUCAUUUAAAGAAAGCGUAAUAGCUCACUGGUCGAGUCGGCCUGCGCGGAAGAUGUAACGGGGCUAAGUAGUAAACCGAAGCUGCGGCAAUACUCUUUGAGUAUUGGGUAGGGGAGCGUUCUGUAAGCGGUUGAAGGUGUGUGGUAACGCAUGCUGGACGUAUCAGAAGUGCGAAUGCUGACAUGAGUAACGAUAAAGGGGGUGAAAAACCUCCUCGCCGGAAGACCAAGGGUUCCUGUCCAACGUUAAUCGGGGUAGGGUAAGUCGACCCCUAAGGCGAGGCCGAAAGGCGUAGUCGAUGGGAAACGGGUUAAUAUUCCCGUACUUCUUACAAUUGCGAUGGGGGGACGGAGAAGGCUAGGUGGGCCUGGCGACGGUUGUCCAGGUUCAAGUGCGUAGGCUUAAGAGUUAGGUAAAUCCGGCUCUUUUUAAGGCUGAGACACGACGUCGAGCUACUACGGUAGUGAAGUCAUUGAUGCCAUGCUUCCAGGAAAAGCCUCUAAGCUUCAGAUUGUAAGGAAUCGUACCCCAAACCGACACAGGUGGUCGGGUAGAGAAUACCAAGGCGCUUGAGAGAACUCGGGUGAAGGAACUAGGCAAAAUGGUACCGUAACUUCGGGAGAAGGUACGCUCCUGGCGGUGAAGUCCCUUGCGGAUGGAGCUACUAGGAGUCGCAGAUACCAGGUGGCUGCAACUGUUUAUUAAAAACACAGCACUGUGCAAAAUCGUAAGAUGACGUAUACGGUGUGACGCCUGCCCGGUGCCGGAAGGUUAAUUGAUGGGGUUAGACUUCGGUCGAAGCUCUUGAUCGAAGCCCCGGUAAACGGCGGCCGUAACUAUAACGGUCCUAAGGUAGCGAAAUUCCUUGUCGGGUAAGUUCCGACCUGCACGAAUGGCGUAAUGAUGGCCACGCUGUCUCCACCCGAGACUCAGUGAAAUUGAAAUCGCUGUGAAGAUGCAGUGUACCCGCGGCUAGACGGAAAGACCCCGUGAACCUUUACUACAGCUUGGCACUGAACAUUGACCCUACAUGUGUAGGAUAGGUGGGAGGCUUUGAAGACGGUACGCCAGUAUCGUUGGAGCCGACCUUGAAAUACCACCCUUGUAGUGUUGAUGUUCUAACGUUGGCCCCUAAUCGGGGUUACGGACAGUGCCUGGUGGGUAGUUUGACUGGGGCGGUCUCCUCCCAAAGAGUAACGGAGGAGCACGAAGGUGGGCUAAUCACGGUUGGACAUCGUGAGGUUAGUGCAAUGGCAUAAGCCCGCUUGACUGCGAGAAUGACAAUUCGAGCAGGUGCGAAAGCAGGUCAUAGUGAUCCGGUGGUUCUGAAUGGAAGGGCCAUCGCUCAACGGAUAAAAGGUACUCCGGGGAUAACAGGCUGAUACCGCCCAAGAGUUCAUAUCGACGGCGGUGUUUGGCACCUCGAUGUCGGCUCAUCACAUCCUGGGGCUGAAGUCGGUCCCAAGGGUAUGGCUGUUCGCCAUUUAAAGUGGUACGCGAGCUGGGUUUAGAACGUCGUGAGACAGUUCGGUCCCUAUCUGCCGUGGGCGUUGGAAGAUUGAAGGGGGCUGCUCCUAGUACGAGAGGACCGGAGUGGACGAACCUCUGGUGUUCGGGUUGUGUCGCCAGACGCAUUGCCCGGUAGCUAAGUUCGGAAUCGAUAACCGCUGAAAGCAUCUAAGCGGGAAGCGAGCCCUGAGAUGAGUCUUCCCUGAUACUUUAAGUAUCCUAAAGGGUUGUCGGAGACUACGACGUUGAUAGGUCAGGUGUGUAAGUGCUGUGAGGCAUUGAGCUAACUGAUACUAAUUGCCCGUGAGGCUUAACCAU